CACCCUGGCAAUGGUUAAAGGGACACCGUAUUGGUGGCGUUGUUCUUAUAUCAGUCAGGGGCAGAGCAGAUGGCAGUCCUUUGUUGAUCCUAGCUUGAUGCCUGGCUUGGUGGCAAAGCUGUCUUAUGCCUAGGACUCAUAA